rnacentral:rRNA from 1 species
GAUGAACGCUAGCGGCAGGCUUAACACAUGCAAGUCGAACGGCAGCACAGGUAGCAAUACUGGGUGGCGAGUGGCGCACGGGUGCGUAACGCGUAUGCAACCUACCUCUAUCUGGGAGAUAGCCCGAAGAAAUUCGGAUUAAUACCCCAUAAUAUAUGUCUUUCGCAUGUUAGACAUAUUAAAGCUUUGGCGGAUAGAGAUGGGCAUGCGUGACAUUAGCUAGUUGGUAAGGUAACGGCUUACCAAGGCUACGAUGUCGUAGGGGGUCUGAGAGGAUUAUCCCCCACACUGGUACUGAGACACGGACCAGACUCCUACGGGAGGCAGCAGUGAGGAAUAUUGGACAAUGGGCGAAAGCCUGAUCCAGCCAUGCCG